rnacentral:rRNA from 1 species
UUGAACCGCAUGGUUCAAUCAUAAAAGGUGGCUUUUAGCUACCACUUGCAGAUGGACCCGCGGCGCAUUAGCUAGUUGGUGAGGUAACGGCUCACCAAGGCGACGAUGCGUAGCCGACCUGAGAGGGUGAUCGGCCACACUGGGACUGAGACACGGCCCAGACUCCUACGGGAGGCAGCAGUAGGGAAUCUUCCGCAAUGGACGAAAGUCUGACGGAGCAACGCCGCGUGAGUGAUGAAGGUUUUCGGAUCGUAAAACUCUGUUGUUAGGGAAGAACAAGUACCGUUCGAAUAGGGCGGCACCUUGACGGUACCUAACCAGAAAGCCACGGCUAACUACGUGCCAGCAGCCGCGGUAAUACGUAGGUGGCAAGCGUUGUCCGGAAUUAUUGGGCGUAAAGCGCGCGCAGGCGGUUUCUUAAGUCUGAUGUGAAAGCCCCCGGCUCAACCGGGGAGGGUCAUUGGAAACUGGGGAACUUGAGUGCAGAAGAGGAGAGUGGAAUUCCACGUGUAGCGGUGAAAUGCGUAGAGAUGUGGAGGAACACCAGUGGCGAAGGCGACUCUCUGGUCUGUAACUGACGCUGAGGCGCG